rnacentral:rRNA from 1 species
ACCGCAAGGUUGAAACUCAAAGGAAUUGACGGGGGCCCGCACAAGCGGUGGAGCAUGUGGUUUAAUUCGAAGCAACGCGAAGAACCUUACCAGGUCUUGACAUCCUUUGACCACUCUGGAGACAGAGCUUUCCCUUCGGGGACAAAGUGACAGGUGGUGCAUGGUUGUCGUCAGCUCGUGUCGUGAGAUGUUGGGUUAAGUCCCGCAACGAGCGCAACCCUUGAUUUUAGUUGCCAGCAUUUAGUUGGGCACUCUAAAGUGACUGCCGGUGCAAGCCGGAGGAAGGUGGGGAUGACGUCAAAUCAUCAUGCCCCUUAUGACCUGGGCUACACACGUGCUACAAUGGAUAGUACAAAGGGUCGCGAAGCCGCGAGGUGGAGCUAAUCCCAUAAAACUAUGCUCAGUUCGGAUUGUAGGCUGCAACUCGCCUACAUGAAGCCGGAAUCGCUAGUAAUCGUGGAUCAGCAUGCCACGGUGAAUACGUUCCCGGGCCUUGUACACACCGCCCGUCACACCACGAGAGUUUGUAACACCCGAAGUCGGUAGGGUAACCUUUAUGGAGCCAGCCGCCGAAGGUGGGACAGAUAAUUGGGGUGAAGUCGUAACAAGGUAGCCGUAUCGGAAGGUGCGGCUGGAUCACCUCCUUUCUAAGGAA